GAUUAAGUUAUUAAGGGCGCACGGUGGAUGCCUUGGCACUAGAAGCCGAUGAAGGACGUUACUAACGACGAUAUGCUUUGGGGAGCUGUAAGUAAGCUUUGAUCCAGAGAUUUCCGAAUGGGGAAACCCAGCAUGAGUUAUGUCAUGUUAUCGAUAUGUGAAUACAUAGCAUAUCAGAAGGCACACCCGGAGAACUGAAACAUCUUAGUACCCGGAGGAAGAGAAAGAAAAUUCGAUUCCCUUAGUAGCGGCGAGCGAAACGGGAAGAGCCCAAACCAACAAGCUUGCUUGUUGGGGUUGUAGGACACUCUAUACGGAGUUACAAAGGACGACAUUAGACGAAUCAUCUGGAAAGAUGAAUCAAAGAAGGUAAUAAUCCUGUAGUCGAAAAUGUUGUCUCUCUUGAGUGGAUCCUGAGUACGACGGAGCACGUGAAAUUCCGUCGGAAUCUGGGAGGACCAUCUCCUAAGGCUAAAUACUCUCUAGUGACCGAUAGUGAACCAGUACCGUGAGGGAAAGGUGAAAAGCACCCCGGAAGGGGAGUGAAAUAGA
rnacentral:rRNA from 1 species